UUAAAUUGAAGAGUUUGAUCAUGGCUCAGAUUGAACGCUGGCGGCAGGCCUAACACAUGCAAGUCGAACGGUAACAGGAAUCAGCUUGCUGAUUCGCUGACGAGUGGCGGACGGGUGAGUAAUGUCUGGGAAACUGCCUGAUGGAGGGGGAUAACUACUGGAAACGGUAGCUAAUACCGCAUAACGUCGCAAGACCAAAGAGGGGGACCUUCGGGCCUCUUGCCAUCGGAUGUGCCCAGAUGGGAUUAGCUAGUAGGUGGGGUAACGGCUCACCUAGGCGACG
rnacentral:rRNA from 1 species